CACGUAGUUAGCCGGUGCUUAUUCUUCAGGUACCGUCAUUAGUGAUCUGUAUUAGAAACCACCGUUUCUUCCCUGACAAAAGAGCUUUACAACCCGAAGGCCUUCUUCACUCACGCGGCAUUGCUGGAUCAGGCUUGCGCCCAUUGUCCAAAAUUCCCCACUGCUGCCUCCCGUAGGAGUCUGGGCCGUGUCUCAGUCCCAGUGUGGCUGGUCGUCCUCUCAGACCAGCUACUGAUCGAAGCCUUGGUAGGCCUUUACCCCACCAACUAGCUAAUCAGAUAUCGGCCGCUCCAUGAGCAUGAGGUCUUGCGAUCCCCCCACUUUCAUCCGUAGAUCGUAUGCGGUAUUAGCGUAACUUUCGCUACGUUAUCCCCCACUCUAGGGUACGUUCCGAUAUAUUACUCACCCGUUCGCCACUCGCCACCAGGAGCAAGCUCCCGUGCUGCCGUUCGACUUGCAUGUGUAAGGCAUGCCGCCAGCGUUCAA
rnacentral:rRNA from 1 species